GACCCAGCUUAACAAGAAGGAAUGUUGCGUAGACCAGGAAUGCUGGACCAUGUGGAGGCUGAAGGAACAGUUAGAAAAGAGGGCCCACGGUUGGAAAUAAAGUCGGAAUAAUCCUGAGCAUCCAGGUAAUUAACUUCGGAGCUAAUGAUAUGUCCAACAAAUGCAAGAUGCCAUGCCGAAAUGUGAUUUGAGGAAGAGUCAAGAGAAUUCAGCAUUUCUGCAUAUAGAAACUUACAGAUUCAAGAAGGGGAACAACAGGAGCCAGCCCCGUGGUGUAGUGGUUCAGUUCAGCAUGCUCUGCUUCAGCGGCUUGGGUUCCCAGGUUUGGAUCCCAGGUACGGACCUCCACCACCCUCAGCCAUGCUGAUGCAGUGACCCACAUCCAAAACAGAGGAAGACUGGCACAGAUGUUAGCUCAGGGCUAAUCUUCCUCAGCAAAA